UUGAUAGCCCAUAAGACCUCUAUUCACCCAUAGAACAGAUUCAAACAAGCAGCAGCAGUGCUAACUACCCCACACUGCUCCAGCAUCAUGUCUCAACUCUGACAUGGAAGGACAACCGUAUUAGUGAGAGCAGAAGUUCAAUUUCCAUGUCUGUCCAGACUUUGGGCUUUG
ensembl:misc_RNA